rnacentral:rRNA from 1 species
AUACGGAGGGUGCAAGUGUUAUUCGGAAUCACUGGGCGUAAAGGACGCGUAGGCGGGUUGGCAAGUCAGAUGUGAAAUCCUACAGCUUAACUGUAGAACUGCAUUUGAAACUGCUAACCUAGAGUAUGGGAGGGGGAGAUGGAAUUAGUGGUGUAGGGGUAAGAUCCGUAGAUAUCACUAGGAAUACCGAAAGCGAAGGCGAUCUCCUGGAACAUAACUGACGCUAAGGCGUGAAAGCGUGGGGAGCAAACAGGAUUAGAAACCCUUGUAGUCC